rnacentral:rRNA from 1 species
AGUCGUGCGAGAAGCCUCUUCGGAGGGUGGACAGCGGCGAAAGGGAGAGUAACGCGUGGAUGCAACCCCCAGGAACGGGAUAGCCGCGGGAAACCGCGGGUAAUACCGGAUAAUGUCUCCGGACCAAAGGUGUGAUUCCGNCUGGGGACGGGUCCGCGUACUAUUAGCUUGUUGGUGAGGUAACGGCUCACCAAGGCGACGAUGGGUACCGGGUGUGAGAGCAUGGCCCGGCUCACUGGGACUGAGACACUGCCCAGACACCUACGGGUGGCUGCAGUCGAGAAUCCUCGGCAAUGGACGCAAGUCCGACCGAGCGACGCCGCGUGCGGGAUGAAGGCCUUCGGGUUGUAAACCGCUGUCAGAGGGGAGGAAAUCCUGUGGGGUUCUCUCCACAGGUUGACCUAUCCUCAGAGGAAGUACGGGCUAAGUUCGUGCCAGCAGCCGCGGUAAGACGAACCGUACAAACGUUAUUCGGAAUCACUGGGCUUAAAGGGUGCGUAGGCGGCCCUGCAAGUUGGGUGUGAAAGCCCUCGGCUCAACCGAGGAAUUGCGCCCAAAACUGCGGGGCUUGAGGGAGACAGAGGUGAGCGGAACUUAGGGUGGAGCGGUGAAAUGCGUUGAUAUCCUGAGGAACACCUGUAGCGAAAGCGGCUCACUGGGUCUCUUCUGACGCUGAGGCACGAAAGCUAGGGGAGCGAACGGGAUAAGAUACCCCGGUAGUCCUAGCUGUAAACGUUGAGCACUUGGUCGGAGAGUCCUCCAUAGCUUACCGGUCGCAGCGAAAGUGAUAAGUGCUCCGACUGGGGAGUAUGGU